UACGUAGGUGGCAAGCGUUGUCCGGAUUUAUUGGGUUUAAAGGGUGCGUAGGCGGCCCCAUAAGUCAGUGCUGAAAUACUCUAGCUCAACUAGAGGGGUGGCAUUGAUACUGCGGGGCUUGAGUGGAGUCGAGGUAGGCGGAAUUGACGGUGUAGCGGUGAAAUGCUUAGAUAUCGUCAAGAACACCGAUAGUGUAGACAGCUUACUAGGCUUCAACUGACGCUGAGGCACGAAAGCUAGGGGAGCAAACGGG
rnacentral:rRNA from 1 species